ACGGGAGGCAGCAGUGGGGAAUAUUGGACAAUGGGGGAAACCCUGAUCCAGCGACGCCGCGUGAGUGAAGAAGUAUUUCGGUAUGUAAAGCUCUAUCAGCAAGGAAGAAAAUGACGGUACUUGACUAAGAAGCUCCGGCUAAAUACGUGCCAGCAGCCGCGGUAAUACGUAGGGGGCAAGCGUUAUCCGGAUUUACUGGGUGUAAAGGGAGCGUAGACGGUUUUGCAAGUCUGAAGUGAAAUGCCGGGGCUCAACCCCGGAACUGCUUUGGAAACUGUAGAACUAGAGUGCAGGAGAGGUAAGUGGAAUUCCUAGUGUAGCGGUGAAAUGCGUAGAUAUUAGGAGGAACACCAGUGGCGAAGGCGGCUUACUGGACCGUAACUGACGUUGAGGCUCGAAAGCGUGGGGAGCAAACAGGAUUAGAUACCCUGGUA
rnacentral:rRNA from 1 species